rnacentral:rRNA from 1 species
GAUGAACGCUGGCGGCGUGCCUAAUACAUGCAAGUCGAGCGAACGGACGAGAAGCUUGCUUUUCUGAUGUUAGCGGCGGACGGGUGAGUAACACGUGGAUAGCCUACCUAUAAGACUGGGAUAACUUCGGGAAACCGGAGCUAAUACCGGAUAAUAUUUUGAACCGCAUGGUUCAAAAGUGAAAGACGGUCUUGCUGUCACUUACAGAUGGAUCCGCGCUGCAUUAGCUAGUUGGUAAGGUAACGGCUUACCAAGGCAACGAUGCAUAGCCGACCUGAGAGGGUGAUCGGCCACACUGGAACUGAGACACGGUCCAGACUCCUACGGGAGGCAGCAGUAGGGAAUCUUCCGCAAUGGGCGAAAGCCUGACGGAGCAACGCCGCGUGAGUGAUGAAGGUCUUCGGAUCGUAAAACUCUGUUAUUAGGGAAGAACAUAUGUGUAAGUAACUGUGCACAUCUUGACGGUACCUAAUCAGAAAGCCACGGCUAACUACGUG